AUGGCAGUGAUGUUGACAAGGAUAGAAUUGAGAAAUAAUGCAUAAGUAAGGGAAAGGGAGAGGAGAGAAGUGGGUAAAGUGAGGCAAUAUGCAAGCAGGAAGUGUUAGCUGAGAUGUGUGAAGAAGUUGCUCCCUAUUUUAUUUUUAUAUUUACAAGGAAAAGUUAAACCUGUAAGAGUUGUACAGAAUCUGAGGAAUGAGAAGUAAUUGGAUUUAAUCCAGGGAAGGGAAAGAUGCCUUCAGUUCCUUGGCUCAGAAUGUUCCUCACCAGCAUUGUCACCUCCUUCACUUGCAGGGGGUGCUCUUAGAUUGGUAAAAGCAGUACUUUCCCAUAACUGGUAGCGAGACCUAAUAAGGUUGUACUUUUUUAACAGCUUCUCUACAGAUGUGUUCAAGCCAUCAACAUGAGUCAUGAUGCGGUACAUGCACAGAUGGAUGUUAAACUACGCUCUUUAACAUGUUUGGGACUCAAUGAACAAGUUCUGCACUUGUGGCUGGAGGUGUUGUGUUCAAGUGCAGAUGUGGUGGAACGCUGGUAUCAACCAUGGUCCUUCCUCAGAUCGCCAGGCUGGGUGCAGAUCAAAUGUGAACUUAGAGUGUUAGCUCAAUUCCCAUUUACUCUAAAUCCAGAUUGGGAACUACCACCACCCCCAAACCAAGACCAGCGACCAUUGCGAGAAGGUGUGCGUGACAUGCUUGUCAAACACCAUCUCUUCUCAUGGGAUCUAUAGUGACAUUAACGAGUUGCAGUGUGAGUAGAAUAUCUGAACUGAUAUUGGAAUCUCAAGAAUAACUCCCUGUAAAUUUUUUAGUCUAACAAGAAGGUAGUACACAUUUAAUUUUAGACACUUUUGUAAUAUGGUAAGACAACAAAACAUUGCAAAAUAUGAUUUGGAUAUAAAGUUAGACAUUACUUUCAAGUUAUUUGAAAAAAAUUUUUUGCAUUGCAAAAGCAGUGUCAUGCCAUGCAUGUCUAACUUGGUCAGUUUCCCUUACUAUUUCAAUUAAACUCUGAAGCCCCUUUCAAAAAACUGUCAUGAAAAGUUUCUUAACAGUUGACAAUGUUUAUUUGUAUUAAUAUUUUUUGUAGGUACAAUAUACAGGAUUUUUUUUAUUUUUGUAUCUAAUUUUUCAGAUCGUGUGGUGAUACUUUUUAUAGAAUCUGAUGUAAAGCGAUGGUCUGGGUUACUGAUUUUUUUUUUUUUUAAAUCCACAUACACUGAGGCAAGUUCUUUGCUCCAGGUGUCUGCCUGCUUUGUAAGAAUUGCAUUUGUGAUAAACAACAAUGUUAAGAUAAAUAUAUUCUGUAUUAGGCUAUAUUUAGUAAAGCCAUUCUUGAAGUGAUAGAAUCUGACCUUUGAGACUGCAUUGUAGCUCAUGAAUAAAUAUAAAUGUUACAUAUUAGCCAACUGGAUAAUACAAACAGUUGUUUUGGAUAUUGGGUAUAACCAUUGUAAUUCCCUCCAUGUCCUGCAACCACUUUGGUACAUUCAUAACUUCAAAUGGGUGGACUGCAGUAGUCCUUCCAUAGCUUUCAGUAUUGGUAAUGCUGACAAGAACAUGGAAAAAUUGAGUGUUUGGGGAGUUUGAAGUACUGUAGAGAUCUGUCUAAAGUAAAAUUAUGUCAUUAUCAGUACUCUGCUAGUAUUCUCUGCUUUAAAAGCAGAUAUGAAUCUGUGAGUUUUAGAUUUAUGAAAAAGCUGCAUGCACAGUGAAUCAAGACCACCACCACAGUACUGGGGUUGCUACUGAAAGAUAGAACUGGGCAUGUAAAGUACUGCUGACAGAACAUUUUUUUGACUAUUAAAAUAUGCCAUUGUUGACCUAGCUCAGUAAUACAACAAUCCCUUGAUAAAAUGUGCUUUUAAAAUGGGUAAAAUCCACUGGGUAAAUUUUUUAACUAAAUUUUCAAUGUUUAUUGUGUACAAUCCUAUAUUAGGUAUACAGUAGAGUACUUAAAUGCUUUUCAUUUUGCUAUUUUUAUAUAUUCUAUUAGUCCAUUAUAUCUAGGGCUUACUGUACAGUAGGGCUCUGCUUUACAGCGUUUCGCCUUGGCGUUCCGCUAAUGGGGCUAUUUCAAAUUAUGACCAAAACUUUGUAUUUAUGACCCAUGAGAAGUGACUUCAUCCCAUGGUCAGCUGUUGAAUAAUAAUUUUUUUUACCACUAGCCAUCUCCCACUGAGGCAGGGUGACCUGAAAAAGAUGAAAUAUUUUCAUAAAGAAAUAAUGUUAUGUAUACAUACAAUGGUACCUCAAGUUAUGAACUUGAUUCAUUCCAGAAGGCUGUUAAAGUGCUGAUACCGAACGAAUUUUCUUCCCAUAAGGAAUAAUGUAAAUUAGAUUAGUCUGUUUCAGACCCCCAAAAAUACACUUAAAUAAUUUUUCGAUUUGGGAGCUGUUCGAAAUUCGAGGUACCAUUGUAUUAGAAUUAUUUAGAGAAAGUGCUAGACCAUAACGAUCAUACAGCAUCGCUUGGCACGUAAGUAAAUAAAUGGUGGGGGUGUGCAGUGGUGGUAUUGAAGAAAGGGUAUUAGCUCAAUGAAUAUGGAUUAUAAUUGAUAAAGAAAAUAGUAUUGAUGUAGAAACCACAGAAUCUACAGCAAAAGUUGGACCAUCUGUGAGAAGGGCAACUAAAGCAAAUAUGUCACAUCAUUGAAUGUGUCUGUAUGGUCAUCUACAAGUUUGGCCAGGCAUGUCAACACCUUAGACUUAACUAUCAUACUCAAAUGGUAGUUACAAUGGUUGGCUAUGGGCAAGGCUAAUUGGUGCCAGAAAAUGUAUUCUACAACCAGUAUAGGUAAGUGAAAAUUAUUAUGGUCAAUAGUAGUAUGAAAACCCAAGCUUGCAUCCCCGGUACUUGUUACACAAGUACUGGGGACCAACUUGGUGUCCUUUGCAGUUGCAAGUCUACAAUUGUGAACUUAGUGCAAGUAUAGCGGUUUGGCCCCUGGUAUUAUAGUAAAUCGUAUUUUGAGAUUCUCAUUUUUAAGAACUAACAAUAUUCAUUGUAUCUUAACACAAUAUUCACAGGCUUACUGGUCCUUCGGUAAGUGUGUCAUAUCAUCAAAACUUAAUUAACAGGUCAUAAUAUGACUUCAAGACCCAUGUCCGGAAACAAUUGCCCCAUUUCCUGACAAAUCACCACAGUUGUGUGUACAAUUAAUUUUGUCUUCCUGUCAAAGUCAGUAUAACUUCUAGCUUUGAACCUCACAGUGCAAUUCUUUAGAUAUGGCAAAAAGCAACUUGGUGUACAAAUGAUAGUUUUAACAUCUGGAGAAGACAACUGAUUUUGUCUUUUAAGAUACAGAAGAGCAUGUAGGUGGCUCAGAGUGUUAGGUAUAUGGGGUAUAGAACGAGCCAAAUAAUUUAGAUACGGUUGCCUGAAGGCUACUCAGGGUCAAUUUCAUCUUGUUACCAUAAUUUUCAGAAAGGUAAUAUAAGAAAAUACAUUUCCAUAAAACAUACUUGGGCAAAAACAUUUUAUGAAUAUCACCACCACCAUUGCCCUAUUUACCAUUUUCGUGGGGCAGAUAAAUAUCUGCUAAGAAAUUGAAAUUUAUAGAUAAGAUGGUUAAAGAUUUAGAGAUCAAAACGUCCAAGCUGUUAUACACCCUUCCACGCACUUCAGCACCACAACAUGAACUAUCACACUUGCAAAAUAUCUAUGCUAGUAUUUCAGCCAUAUUAUUUACUAAGUGUCAAGUAAUAUACAUGGCUUGUCAUAAAAUAAAUUACCAUUCAUUCCCUCCUAACAAAUGGCUUCCACAAAUUCAUGGUCAUUGGCACUUCAUUUGCAUAGGAUGUAUUUGCACGCUCACCAUAUAUAUUAACGUUUCCUUCUCUGGCCCUCAUUAUUAUAUUGAAGAGAAAGCGCUGAACUUGUAGGAGUCAUACAGUGCCUGGGGAAUGGGAAGUAACCAGGUUUGAUCAAAAAAAAAAAAAAAGCAGGGAGGGGUAGCUUUCCUGUUUGUUUUUGCAAUUUAUCAUUACUUGUAUUAU